rnacentral:rRNA from 1 species
GGCUUAGAGUUUGAUCAUGGCUCAGGAUGAACGCUGGCGGCGUGCCUAACACAUGCAAGUCGAACGAAGCACUUUAUUACGAUUUCUUCGGAAUGACGAUUGAGUGACUGAGUGGCGGACGGGUGAGUAACGCGUGGAUAACCUGCCCCAUACAGGGGGAUAACAGUUAGAAAUGACUGCUAAUACCGCAUAAGCGCACAGUAUCGCAUGAUACGGUGUGAAAAACUCCGGUGGUAUGGGAUGGAUCCGCGUCUGAUUAGCCAGUUGGCGGGGUAGAGGCCCACCAAAGCGACGAUCAGUAGCCGACCUGAGAGGGUGACCGGCCACAUUGGGACUGAGACACGGCCCAAACUCCUACGGGAGGCAGCAGUGGGGAAUAUUGCACAAUGGGGGAAACCCUGAUGCAGCGACGCCGCGUGAGCGAAGAAGUAUUUCGGUAUGUAAAGCUCUAUCAGCAGGGAAGAAGAAUGACGGUACCUGACUAAGAAGCUCCGGCUAAAUACGUGCCAGCAGCCGCGGUAAUACGUAUGGAGCAAGCGUUAUCCGGAUUUACUGGGUGUAAAGGGAGCGUAGGCGGUGCUAUAAGUCUGAUGUGAAAGCCCGGGGCUCAACCGCGGGACUGCAUUGGAAACUGUAGGACUGGAGUGUCGGAGGGGUAAGUG